rnacentral:piRNA from 1 species
UGACUGUUUAUGGUUAGGCACGAGGGCAAC